UCGAAUAUAUUUAAAUUGUAUAGCCGCGCGGCUGUACUAUUUAAAUAUUCGAAUAAAUUUAACGCGUAUAGCCGCGCGGCUUUACUAUUUAAAUAUUCGAAU
rnacentral:miRNA from 1 species